rnacentral:lncRNA from 1 species
GGAAUAUUAAUGUUUAAUAUAUGGGUAUUAUCUAAUUAUGUUUUAUUAUAUAUUCUAUAUAAAUACCUAAUAUAUAGGUAUCUAAUAUAUAAUCAAUAAUUAUAAUCAUAUAUAUAAUCAAUUGAUGCUAGAUGUUAUCUAUCUAUUUAUAUAUAUAAAGAGAAGGAUCAGAAGAUAAAUGAAUUUCGAAAUGCAUGGACCAACUCUUUGCAGUGGGUAUGGAUGCUUCUGUUUUAAACCUGAAGAUUCAAACAUGCACUCUUAGUGACUUCAUUUUUCUGCCAGCACUGGGAUUUUCAAGUAGAGAGUCAAUGAAACCAGCUUGGCAUUGGGUUACUGAAAUGUAUCCACAAAGGAUGGACAACCCCAUGGCACUCCCUCUUCUGCCUUCUCUGGAUAUACUCUUUCCUAGGCCAGCACCAUCACGGACCCUGACUUUGCUUCAAGAAAUGCAGCGUCUCCCUCACAGAAGUUUAUUCACUCCAUUGAGAACCUACAGUGGAGUGUGCUGUCUGCACGUGGCUGAGAUACCCAGGCAGGACUCUGUGGUACAAGGACAGGACAUGUUGUUAAGAGGACAAACUGCGUGUGAAAUGGAUACGUUGCAGAGGCUGGAUUCUACGGAGCAGAUGGGCUUCCUAGGUUCUCUCAGGAUCACUUAUACUUUUGACCAGCUUUGAGAAAGGAUUGAUCUGCCAUUGAUGUUGAUUCUGCCAUGACAUCAGCUGUCUGGGUUUUACUGAUACAUGCAAGACAUAUAUCAUGGGCAUAUUCAGAUUUCUGUUCUACUUCACUCUUAAUAG